CAGGCCAUCGAUGACGAUUGUAACCAGACGGGGCAGCUCCUCGCCGCCAUGUUGGACUGGCCGCAGGCCACGUUUGCGUCGCGCGUGGAGCUCGAACCCGGGGCCGUGCGGGUGCAGCGGGAGGUGGACGGGGGGCUGGAGACGCUGCGCCUGCGCCUCCCGGCGCUAAUUACCGCCGACCUGCGGCUUAACGAGCCGCGCUACGCCACGCUGCCCAACAUCAUGAAAGCCUAGAAGAAGCCCCUGGAGGUUGUGGAGUGGGCGGGGCUGGGGCUGCCCCCGCCCCUCCCCCGCCUGCGGGCCGC
rnacentral:lncRNA from 1 species